rnacentral:tRNA from 1 species
CGGUCUCGUGGUUGGGUUUGAGCGUGACGCUGAACUCGUUGCCCUGCAGGUGACAGCCCCGCGCGACCGC